rnacentral:misc_RNA from 1 species
CCGAGUUAGGGUUCUCUGAAAACGAGGCCCGACCUCCCAACCCUGUGUUUAUACCGACCACUGUUGCUUCGGCGGACCGCCUCUCCUCUCUGUUCCAGGGAGGGUUGUGGGCGCCGGGGGCGAGAGAUCGUCCCUGGAGCGCGUCCGUCGACGGCCAUCAAACAAACUCUUUUUUAGAAACCACCUUCUGAAAACCUUUUAGUUAUUGAAUUAACAAAAACA